UACGUAGGGAGCGAGCGUUGUCCGGAUUCAUUGGGCGUAAAGAGCUCGUAGGCGGCUUGGCAAGUCGGGUGUGAAAACUCCAGGCUCAACCUGGAGACGCCACCCGAGACUGGCAUGGCUAGAGUCCGGUAGGGGACCACGGAAUUCCUGGUGUAGCGGUGAAAUGCGCAGAUAUCAGGAGGAACACCGGUGGCGAAGGCGGUUCUCUGGGCAUUACCUGACGCUGAGGAGCGAAAGUGUGGGGAGCGAACAGG
rnacentral:rRNA from 1 species